UCCUUGGCAUAAGGUCAUGCUUGGAAAGACCUUUAGGAGUGGUUUGGGAGUGAGGUGCUUAAAAAAAAACACUCAUGAAAAAAAGCUGUAAGGGUUUUAGGUGUUUGGUAAACUAAAAAAAAAGGCUUAUUUUGGAAGCUGCUGUGAGAAUAAGCUGAAAUCAAAGAAAAAAGCUAAAGCAGCUAUUUACAGCUUUGGAAAACUAGUUUUUUUUCAAAGCACACAGAGUUACAGU
rnacentral:lncRNA from 1 species